AGCGAACGCUGGCGGCAGGCCUAACACAUGCAAGUCGAACGAACCUUUCGGGGUUAGUGGCGGACGGGGGAGUAACACGUGGGAACGUGCCUUUAGGUUCGGAAUAACUCAGGGAAACUUGUGCUAAUACCGAAUGUGCCCUUCGGGGGAAAGAUUUAUCGCCUUUAGAGCGGCCCGCGUCUGAUUAGCUAGUUGGUUGAGGUAAUGGCUCACCAAGGCGACGAUCAGUAGCUGGUCUGCGAGGAUGAUCAGCCACAUUGGGACUGAGACACGGCCCAAACUCCUACGGGAGGCAGCAGUGGGGAAUCUUGCGCAAUGGGCGAAAGCCUGACGCAGCCAUGCCGCGUGAAUGAUGAAGGUCUUAUGAUUGUAAAAUUCUUUCACCGGGGACGAUAAUGACGGUACCCGGAGAAGAAGCCCCGGCUAACUUCGUG
rnacentral:rRNA from 1 species